CCUACGGGAGGCAGCAGUGGGGAAUAUUGGACAAUGGGCGAAAGCCUGAUCCAGCAAUGCCGCGUGAGUGAUGAAGGCCUUAGGGUUGUAAAGCUCUUUUACCCGGGAUGAUAAUGACAGUACCGGGAGAAUAAGCUCCGGCUAACUACGUGCCAGCAGCCGCGGUAAU
rnacentral:rRNA from 1 species